UUUGUACAGGGUCUCACUGUGUCGUCCCUGGAUGGCCUGGAAUUGGCCACGUAGAACAGAAUGGCCUGAAAUUCACAGAGAUCCAUUCUCCUGCCUCUGCUCCCCACCCUCCAAGCACUGAGGUGCGUGGCUCCAAAUCUGGCCUCAAACUGCUAUGGCUGUCGGAGGUACUCCAUGGUGAUUUCAGAGGAUCUCUUUUCUAAGCAUUCCUGGUGCAAGGUUCCUGUCUUGAGUUCCUUGCCUUGGCGUGCCUCAAUGAUGUAUGUAACCCAUGAGAUAAACAAACCCUUUUCUCCUACAAGUCGCUUUGCGUCAGAGUUUUGUCACAGGCACAGGGAAGCAGAGUGGGACAUCUAGGAUACAAAGUGCUCGCUCGCUCCCUCUUAGAUCCCCAGGAUUCCGUCAGUCGUCACCCACUACAGAUGCUAAAAGAAUAAUGAAAAAAUGGAAGUUUCUGCUAUUCCUGAGUGAAUAAAUGCUACCAACAUUCUGAUUCU
rnacentral:lncRNA from 1 species